GGGCGCAUGGCUCAGUUGGUUAGAGCGCUAUCCUCACACGAUAGAGGCCAACCGUUCAAAUCGGUUCAGACCCA
rnacentral:tRNA from 1 species